GCCAAAACAACCACUGUUCUUCUUUACUUUCUUUUUUAUGUCACCCUAGUGGAGGCUAUUCGUUGCGUGAGAAAGAAAAUAAAGACGAAUAGGAAGCCUCCCAUCAGGGGGGCUUUUUCGUA
rfam:Photobacterium jeanii strain R-40508 scaffold10, whole genome shotgun sequence.